rnacentral:rRNA from 1 species
ACAACGCGCGGGAGAGGAGCGGUGGGUAUGAGGAGGGUGCGAGGGUGAAGGGGAAUAGGUGGGUCAGAAUGGCACGCAGGUGUUCGGAUAAUUCUGAUGUGCAAGCCCCGUGCUUAUACUGGGAACUGCAGUUGGAGCUGGCCGACUAGAGUCUUGUAGAGGGGUGUUGAAUUCCAGGUGUAUCGGUGAAAUGCGUAGAGAUCUGGAGGAAUACCGGUGGCGAAGGCGGCCCCCUGGACAGAGACUGACGCUCAGGUGCGAAAGCGUGGGGAGCAAACAGGAUUAGAUACCCGGGUAGUC